CACCCUGUCCCUCUGGAGUGUACUGUAGCUCAUACGGAGCCUCAACACCAGACGGUUCUUGUUUGCAGGGUUAUUUCUGCACGGGGGGAGCCACACAGCCAACACCGCACAGCUCUGACAACUCCCCAGUGAAUGGCCCUUGCCCCGUGGGCCAUUACUGCCCAGCAGGGUGCCUCGCCCCAAUUCCCUGCCCUCUCGGCAGUAUUCGCAAAACCAUAGGAGGGGUGUCCAUGGAGAGCUGCUCCGCCUGUCCCGCUGGUCACUACUGCUCUGCGGAGGGUCUUGCUAGCCCCAGUGGCCCGUGUGCAGCUGGUUUCUACUGCCCUUUUGACUACUCCUCGACCACUCCAUAUGCCUUCUUGUGUCCCAAGGGCCAUUACUGUCCAGAAGGCUCCGUUCUGCCCCUGCCUUGUGCCACAGGAGAGUACCAGCCAAACCCGGGCUCAGACGGCUGCGUCCCAUGCCGAUCUGGGUUCUACUGUGAGGAGGCCAUAGUGGGAGAGCCAUGGCCCUGCCCACCACACUCAUUUUGCCCUGCAGGCACAAUGGUGCCUCUGCUCUGCCCCAAUGGGACAUACACUCCUUCAAACCAGGGAGGACUACAAGAAGAGCGAGAGUGUUUACCCUGCCCUCCAGGGAAAUUCUGCAGGGCUGGUAGGAUCCAGGGUUUGUGCGCGGCGGGCUAUCUUUGUGUUUCUGGCAGUGCAGAUGUCACCCCUGAGGCGCCACUGUCUAACAUGACACAGUGCCAGUGGGGCAUGCAGUGUGCUGGACCAUGUCCACCAGGUUUUUACUGUCCUGAGGGAACGGAGGAAGCUAAGUUCUGUGCUGCAAACACCUUCAGAAGCUCCCCGGGAGGUGCCAGCCUACCUGACUGUUUACCCUGCCCACCUCAGCAUUGGUGUAAACCGGGAGACCCAGUCCUUCAUCCGUGUCCGCCCGCUCAUUACUGUGACGGUCUGCCUGGAAGUGACUUUAAUGGAGGCACAGGACCCAGGCCAUGUCCGCUGUACACCUAUCGAGCUUUACCGGGAGCAGGCAGCAAGGGUGACUGCCUGCCCUGCCCUCCUGGUUCUCACUGUAACAGAACAGGGCUUACAGACUACUCCAACAGUCGGUGCCCGCCUGGUUUCUGGUGCAGCGGGUCUGGACCCCCCAUUCUCUGCCCUGCAGGCACCAAAAGGCCCCGUCCUGGAGCUGCUUCACCAAGCCAAUGUGAACCGUGUUCAGGGGGAACCUUCUGCCCAGAUCCGAGAGCAACAGGGAGGCCGAAUGUGGAGGGGAUCCCCUGCAGGGCCUCCUAUCAAUGCCCAACUGGUGCAGUCUCGGAGAGUCUGUGCAGAGCCGGCUCAUACUGUGGACCUCAUACUGAUGAGCCUGCAGUCUGUCCCAAAGGGUAUCUUUGUCCUGAGGGAUCUCAUACCUACAACACCCCCAAGCAACUAUGCCCUUUUCCUUACUACUGUCCAGCAAACAGCUCCUUCAUGAGGUCCUGCAAGGGAGGAUUUAUGCCCAUCAACACCAGCGACCUCAGAGGAUCCAAAAACAGCUGUUGUCGUGUGUGUGAGGGGGGCACCUAUCGCCCGUACCUCUCCCCCAUCCUGCAAUGUCUUCCAUGUCCACCGGGAUACUUUUGCUCUCCAGGUACAACCGACUACAAAAGUUCCCCCUGCCCUGUUGGGUAUCGCUGUCCAAAGGGAGCCGCCCAACCAAUAGCCUGCCCUCCUGGCUUCUUUGGUAACAUUACUCAUGCUGAGACAUUGAGUGACUGUCACCUGUGUCCAGCUGGCACCUUCAACCACCUGCUUGCUCAGAAGGCCUGCUUCCCCUGUGGCAGCUCCUCCACCUCAACAGCCGGUUCUUCUUCUUGCACCUGUAUCGGUAAGAAUCGGGCAUUUCAGCACUCGGAUGGUUCAUGUUUGUGCAGAACUGGUUUCAUCUUCUACAAUGAACUGGACUUCAAAAGUUCUACCUCUGACAGUGAAUUGGACUGCCAGCCUGAGGUGAACAGACGGUGUUCUGCUGGUCAGGUACGUCUGGCAGCAUCCAGGGAGUGUGUGACACCUUCCCUCCACUCCUGCAAUACAACCUGUGGACAACAUGGAGGAACUCUGGAUGUGGCGAUGGGCAUCUGCCGGUGUGAGCGAUAUGUGUCCGCUGAAGAGCUUUGCAACACGUCCUGCCUCUUCACACUACCUCAGCUCUCCGCCCAGAUCUCACCAGACGGGCACCUGCUGCUCAGCUUAAAAGAAAGAGACAAGAUGGUGUGGGCAAGGACUGUGAUGGAUGUUUUAGGACCAGAUAUCCACGCAAAGGGUAUUGGUAAAAUCCAUUUGAUCCAGUUUGAUCCUGAAGGCGUGUUUGGUUGGAUUCCAACACAGAAAGAGCUCAUCAAUAACUUUCUGUCAGAACCGAUUAAACUCCUGAAGACAAGACAAAGAAAGAGGAGAGACAUGGAAGAUGCCGAGGAUUAUGAUGCUUCUGACACAGCUGUCCUUCCUCGUAUCCCCAACCCCAUUGUCUGUCUGUCCUCGGGUGACAUGCUCAUUUUCCAUCUCACCAUCAACCACACUGACCGACAUCGGAGCCACUUUCCAGUGUAUCAGAAAGACCACCUGUUUAACAGUAAUCCCAGUUGGGACUUUGGUGCCUUCAGACGACUGCAGAUACUCAUGAAGCAGACCAACUUGAACUCUACAAGGUUCGCCCACGUGUUUUCAGCAGCUGGGAAGUACGCGUUUGUCGACAGCACCGUCCCAGAGCGGAGUAUGGUGGUGGUGGUCAGUGAUCAGGGGACAGUCUGUGACCCUCGGGCCUCCGUCUUCCAGCCCAUGACCCCGGCACAGCUGGUGAAGCACGGGAUUAUCAAGCAGCACAGACUCAACCUUCUUCCUGACUGGGGAGUGAUAGCAGGGGUCCUUGGUCUGCUGCUGGUUCUCGUUGUGGUUUUGACCACCACCGUGAUAGUUCUGCGACCCGGUAAAGCAAAACUCGUCUCCCAAUGGAGGAAUAAGCCCAAGUGGCGCAGCCUCGGGGAGCCCUUCUGUCCGGUGGAUUGUGUUUGCAGUGAAGACAACAAAGUUGUCCCAAGCGUAGGUGGCUUACUAGGUAGUAGAGGUGAAGGAGAGGGAGCAGAAGCCGAGGAGCCCGCUGUUUCAAAAGGAGGAAAUGUUCCAGGGCGCUGCGAUUUGGAGGAGUUGAAUGUCAAGACUCUGUUUGACAAACUGGAGGAUCAGAACUUACACUUCGCCUCACAACUGGCCCGACACCGCAAAGACACACAGGAGUUUUAUAGAAACAUCUGUCAACAGACUGAAACACUCAAGAAUGUCCUAGACAAUAUGGAUCAUAGAAAACUAAGCUUUCUAAAGGAACUGCUUGUCCAUAAUGCAAUGAAGAAUAAACCAUUCGACUGCAGUGCAAGAGGGAGAGAUUUACAAGUUGAGACCUCUACAGCAUUACUAGGAGAUGUACUCCAGUCAGUAGAAGCUCUUCUCUGCAAGCUGGCGGGAGAAGCUUGGCAGAACCAGGAUUUAGCCGCCCCUCCAUACUGUCACAUUGGUCCUCGUGAUGCCAGGGAAUGUGAACCACGAGCUGGAUACAGACAAUCUGGUGACAACAUGUGUUAUACACAGUUUUCGUCAGCGAAUGUGAUCAAAGCAGAGCCAGUACAUCUACCGAGCACAGAGUCCUGUUUCAGUGACCACGACUUGUCCAGACUGGUCAGUACAUCUCCUCUGUUCAAGACCCUGCACGAGAUCCAACAGUCUUUACAGAAACUCACCACAGAGGAGUCUAACCGUCAGCCUCACAUUGCAGCUACAGAACAGUCUGUCCAGGAAAACAAUGAAGGGCAACUUAUCCCGACUGCCCUCGACAACCUCUCCGUGCAACACUCAGCCGUCUUCCUGUUCGGUUGCCAGGAAAAGCUUCAUCACGUUGGACAUUUCAUCGCCCUCAUUCUGCAGUCCAUGGCCUACAUAGUGUCAGGAUCCAAACCUCUGAGUUUCAUGGAAGCCCUUCAUGAGGCAAUAUCAGCUUUAAGCCUUCAGCUGUUCAACGUUUCUUUCAAAUGGAACACACCAGGGGUUUGCCACCAAAAGGGACACCAAUGCAGCUGAGCGUGCAGCUACAGAAGAGAGCUCAAAUGAGCACAUGGCUAAAGGAGAGAGAAAAUGGAGCUGGCAACCAUUCUGUGCAGGCAAUACCAACGAGCAUACCAAGUCUCAGUCGUAAUGGAACGAUCCUGCUGGAGCUGAAGAGAUCCUAUGUAUCACAGCGCCUCAACGAGCUCCAAAUGACAUUAGGCCGCAUCAGACAGAGCCAGCAGCGUGACAGCGAGUCAAAAAAUGGAACAAGAGGCCGCAUGCAAACCGACAGCAGCGCCACUCAGCAGGAGCAGAGCGACCAUUAUCCUGGCGUAGCUGAUUGGGGUCCGCUUGGCGGCCAGCGGCCGGACAGUUUUCCAUCUGACACGAGUCACAGCCAGCAAAGAGCAGAGAGCAGAGGUCCCGGUAACUCUAAACCGGAGAGUCGUAUAUCCGACCAGCUGAUGAGUGACACUGUCCAGAGCAACAACCCAGACGCAUCACUAGACUGCUAGAAGUCGUGUCUCUGUAUCCCAAGGGUGCAGGAGGCUUUGGUACACGUUUGUUUUGAUGCACAGAAUAAUACAAUUUCUUGUAUGUUUAAUCAGAGCUAAGUGUGUUGUUUUUAAUAAUGUAUGAUCUUGAAUUCUCAGGCAGGACUUAUUGUGUUCUGUUUAUUACCAUAUUCUAAAGAAGACGAUAAUCUUCAACUCGGUAGAUUCAAAAUGUGCUUCUGUGUUGUUUCUUACUCACAAACACUUCUCCCUUUUGUAGCGGUGACAACCUCUGUCUUCAUAAGUAUUUCAUGUUUGUCCGUUUUCUUCAUCUCAAAGCUCCAUUCAAAAUCUUGCUGGAAAGGUCUAUGCUUCCUUCCUCACUCGGGUUCCUCGGUUUGUCUGACGCACAGGGUUCUGGUUCUUUUAAUAGAAAGUGAGUAUUCCUACAGGGGACUGCGGGCCAAAUCAGAAGGUCAGAUGGAACAAGUCUUCACUUACUAUCAGUGUUAGCUUAGAGCUCUGUGACAACUCCCCCGAGGUGCAAUUUGGCAUUGCCCUGUAGAUUUGUGUGUGUGUGUAUGUGUAUGUGUUUGUGUGCGUACGAGGGGUGUGGUUCAGUGACUCCUUGAGAUUAUACGCCUUAUCAAUUAGAUUAGCUGCUAUGUGUUAGUGAUUUGGCCUCACGGUGAGACAAGGCAUCAUAUAACACGGC
ensembl:lncRNA